UGGGGAAUAUUGGACAAUGGGCGAAAGCCUGAUCCAGCCAUGCCGCGUGUGUGAAGAAGGUCUUCGGAUUGUAAAGCACUUUAAGUUGGGAGGAAGGGCAGUAAGCGAAUACCUUGCUGUUUUGACGUUACCGACAGAAUAAGCACCGGCUAACUCUGUGCCAGCAGCCGCGGUAAUACAGAGGGUGCGAGCGUUAAUCGGAUUUACUGGGCGUAAAGCGUGCGUAGGCGGCUAAUUGAGACGGAUGUGAAAUCCCCGAGCUUAACUUGGGAAUUGCAUUCGAUACUGGUUAGCUAGAGUGUGGGAGAGGAUGGUAGAAUUCCAGGUGUAGCGGUGAAAUGCGUAGAGAUCUGGAGGAAUACCGAUGGCGAAGGCAGCCAUCUGGCCUAACACUGACGCUGAGGUACGAAAGCAUGGGGAGCAAACAGG
rnacentral:rRNA from 1 species